UAACCCAUGUUGUGUCAUGGGUAGGUGGUUUGAGUGCCAGUUAAAAGGAGCAUGCUCACCACAUGAUUUGAUUACAGCAAUGGGCAGAUGUGAUCACAUGGUGCUGUCGGCAUGAUAAGCAGCAAUGCAGUUGCCAGCAGUUGGUAGGGGGAAGAUGUGGAACCCCAGAGGCCUUAGCACACCCUAUGCCAGUGGCUGAAGCCACCAUAAUCCCAAGAGUUUUCAAAUACCUGGGCUUUGUCAACAAGCUUCUAUGAGGAUCUUAAAUAAGGAAGUUGAAUGCUGAAGGUUAUAGGAAACUCGAGCAGUAAUGAAGUCAUUUUGAAAGCCCCGGUGUGGGAGUCUAAUUUGUCAUUGGCCUCAUUGCGGAAGCAGAGGAAGGAGAACCUAAGAAGACUGUGCAUUUAUUCUUGGGUGGUUUUGGUGGAGACUGCUGUGCCUAUUUUUUCUAAGGGGACUGAGCUUGCUUAAUGUAGGAAAAUGAUAUGUUCCAAAGCAUUUAAAAGGGUCUGAAAAAUGAACAGACCCACAAUAUGUGCAGAGGGCUUUUCCUUUUACUGAAUUUACCAGGAAAACUGCCUAUUAAACAAAUACAGCAAUUUUAUCUGUAGAAUAAAUGCAAAAGCUGGCUUGUUUCUGCAUCUGCUCUUGCAAUAAGUAUGACAGGUGGGUGGAUGCUGAGCCCCAACCUAGUAUCCAUCUGAAAUAACAUCAGAUUCUCCAAGGAAGAGUGAUAUUAAGAAUAGUCCAGCAUAGUGGGAUAUGGGUGCCGGAGUGAACUAUGAGCGUAUGCAGAGGCUGAGGCAAGGGAAAGUUUUUGAAGAUAAAAAUGAGAAGGAUCACAACAGAUAUUUUUAAAUAAUCCUUGGCCACAAUGAUUAACAAGGAGAGUGGUGUCGGUCAGGUUGAACUGGCAAUAGCCAGGCAGGUGUCCUUGUAGAAUUACUUUUUGUCCAAGGUCAUGAUGGACUCUGCAAGCUAGUGGUUCCAGCAGAGUCUUUUGCAAUAGUUAUAUCAAGCAAUCACAUGUAAGGACCCUUCCUUCAUAACCUCCCUAUUUCAUUUAUCCAUCAAUUUUUGGUAUUAGGGAUUGAACCCAGGGGCACUGUACCACUGAGUUAUACCCUUAAAUACUUUAAUUUUUUUUUUUUUUUUUUUUUUUUUGAGACAGGUUCUCACUAAUUUCCUGAGGCUGGCCUUGAAUUUGUGAUUCUCAAAUCUCAGCCUCCUAAGUGGCUAAAAUUAUAGGCAUGUACCACCAUGCCUGGCCCAGCUUCAUUUUUUAAAAAAACAUUUCUGAAAUUCUAACAACUUUCUCAUUUUUUUUUUUCACACUAGGAACUAGAACAUAGAGGUUUUAAUUUUUUUUUUUUUUUUUUUAGAAGUGAUCCUGCCCCUGAGCUUGUUUCUAAGGAAAGAAAAAUCAACUGGGCACAGUGGCACACACCUGUAAUCCCAGCAGCUCAGGAGGCUGAGACAGGAGGAUUGUGAGUUCAAAGCCAACCUCAGCGAUUUAGCAAGGCCCUGAGCAACUCAGUAAGACCCUGUCUCUAAAUAAAAUAUCAAAAGGGCUGGGGAUGUGGCUCAGUGGUAAGUGCCCCUGAGUUCAAUCCCCAGUACCCCCCCUCAAAAAAAAAAACAACUUCACUCUCAUAUUUAGUACAGAUUAUAAUAAAUGGAGGCCCUGUUAAGUGCUGAUGAAUAGGUAUACAAAUAAAGCAGAUGUGUGUGUAAGUUUAAUUGGAGUUUGAAAACUGGUGGUAGAUGAGCACGUGGAGUGUGUAGUCCUAUUGAAAUCAGACCAGAGACAUGCAGGGAGAGGCAACUGGUGAUGAGGGAGAAAAUGAUAUCACUAAUAUUCACUCAGUACUUAACUGGGAGGCUCCUCAAUUCCCAGGGCCUAAUAUGCAAAGAUGGACUAGAUCCCUAGUUUCUGUCUUUAUGUCAUUUCCAUUCUAAUCACUAAUCACCAAAAAGAAAUUCACAAGAAGGUAUUCAGUUAUCUCCCAGGUGAGAUAGAUGCAAUGGAGGAAAUAUGCAAGGUGUGUGGGAGAGGAUUUCUCUAAUGGUGAGUCAGAGGAGCCUACUCUGAGGUUGUAGUAUUUAUGUGGAGCCUUGGGAAGGUGGAGGAGAAAGCCAGUUGCUUUGGAAUGGUCUCUGAUUACAUUAAGCAAGGGAGGAAGUCUGGGGAGGAAAUCUAUGAAGCUCAAGUGCUCCCCAGAUGCUUUUGCUUUAGCUACUGGUGCUCAUUCAUCUCUCCCCUGGGCUUCCUUGCACAACCUGUCCAGCUUGUUUCAUGUGUCUUCAAUGCUUAACAAAGAAGCAGGCAGAAACCAUCACUAGAAUUUGAGUGAAUGCAUUUGGGGUUGAGCUUUGCUUGACUUGGAGGUUCCUAGAUAUCUCAAGGUUGCUGUGACAGUGAUUUGAAGGGGAUGAACACAGCAGUGGUUUUCAGGAUGCAUUAAACAGGGACAGCUGGGAAGGACUCUGUCCUCUCUGCCCUGAGCACUGCUGGUUGUCCUGCUAAUGCUUUUUUGGCUUGAAGUUACCAACCAGGUUAGGAGGUGGAGUGAGAGUUCAGGCCUUUGCCCAACACAGGUGAGUGGACAGGUGGCAUUAGCAGACUGGAUGGGAAGAGCAUUAAAACAGCAAGAGCUUUUACAGCCUUGAAACUGUAAUUGGUGAUUCAGCUGGCAAGCCACUGCUGUCAUACAGUGUGCAGUGCCGGGUCAAGUGUGGCCACCAUCAUCAUCUGUAUGGUGCUGGGGAUUGAACCCAGGUUCUUGUGCACACAAGGCAAGCAUUCUACUAAUUGAGCUAUACUUCAAGUUGACUUGAACGAUGUGGUCAACUCCCAGGGUCUGGUUAUCUUGCUAUUCAGUGAGUUCUUUUUGCUCUCACAACUGAGAGGGUUUUCAGUUACAACUAAACUGUAGAUACACAGGUACACAGUAAGCAAUAGUAACUAGAGCUUUGUAGUCAAAAGUCCUGAGUUUCUCUGCUCCAGCCUCUGCUGAUUCGUAGGCUGGGAACCUUGGGAGCAGUUACCUACUCUCUCGGAAACUGUUUCCUCCUCUGUACAAUGUACUUGUGACACCAGUCAGUUCACUUAACUCUCUAAACUUCAGUUGUUUUUGUAAAAUAAUUCUAUAUUUAGCAUUUCAUAUUAACAUAAACCAACGUAAGCAUUAAUAUGUAAUAAAAUAAUGGUACCAUAUGAGCUUUAAAGGGGGGUUGUGAGGACAAAAUAAAACAAUGCUUUUGAGACCCAAAUGAAUAACCAUUAUGAUUAGCUUGGAAAAUCUUUGGUCAUAUAUAUGUUCAAAAGUCUUUUAUUAUCAUCAUCAUCAUCAUCAUCAUCAUCAUGUAUAUGGUGCUGGGGAUUGAACCCAGGUUCUUGUGCACACAAGGCAAGCAUUCUACUAAUUGAGCUAUACCUCCAGCCCUCAAAAGCCUUUUUUUUUUGCCAUCAGGGUGAUGCUCACCUGUAAUCCCAGUGAUUCCAGGGGCUGAGGCAGAAGAUUGCAAGUUCAAGGCCAGCCUCAGGGACUUAGGGAGACACUGUCUCAAAAUAAAAUAAAAAAGGACUGGAUGUGUAGCUCAUUGGUAGAGCACUGCUGGGUUCAAUCUCCACACAGAAAUACCCUAUCUAAAUAAAGAUACUGUCUAGGAGAGGGAGAUUUUCCCUUUGGUCUUGCAGACUUUCUUACCUAGCUACAAGAAAUUGGUAAAAUAUGAAAGAGAUGAUUCUCAUUUCUGUGUUACCUGACCUCCAACUGUUGUUUAGCAGGUGUCAUAGUGUUUGAAAUGUUUGUCGAGCCUUGAUCUUUCGUAGAUGAACCAUUACCUUUGUUUGCACAUUUUAUUAUGUUUACUCAUUAAUCCAAUACCUAUUUACUGAGAAUGUUUAAGGCACUAGGUGCUAGAUGGUCCCGGAAGGAUAAGAAAGGAUUUUACAGUGAUGACAUUAACAGGUAGGAUGUCCCCUUGCCCAUACUGUUCUGUUUUAGUCAUAAUCUCAGACUUUCUGGACAGAUCCUAAUAUUAUCUUCAUUUUAUAGUUGAGUAAGCAGGUUUAGAGAAAUUGUCUGAUGUCACAAAGCUAAUAAAUGACAGUUUCUGGCUGAAACAGGAAUUGUCUCCAAAACCCCAGGCUGCUGUUCCUCCACUGGAAGAUGCCCCAUCACCCCCUCCCAGCCCUUCUCCUCAUCCCGUGGAGAAAACUCUUCUGCUCCCACAUUCCUGCUUGCAAUGUUACUUGAAUAGCAUUGCUAUGUCACUCUUAUGGUAGCACCCCGGAGUCAAGACUGGAAGAGAGAUGAGCAGGAACAGAAGGGAGGCAACUUGGCCAAACGGGAUUUUAGGUUCUUAUCAAGAUAACAGACCUGAGGGGAAGAGGGACCAUCCCAGAAUUACCCCUCCCUCCCUGUGGCUGAGCAUUUAGUGACAGCUCCUCCUCCAUCACCUCCAUCCAUCCAUCUCCCCUUUAGUGACUUUUUCCCCCACACCAACAGGUGGAGGUCAGGUAACACAGGCCUCCUCAUGUCCUGGCUCCAGCCUUUGACCUGCUCUGUGACUGUGGCAAGUUAGUAACUUCCGUAAGUCACCCUGACUUAUCUAAAAUUCAUUCACUCCCAGAGCUACUCUUUAGCCUACAUGAAUAAGUCACGGGGAUCACAGGUCCCUUACCUAAGUGGGUGGCGUUGGCUCUGCCACAUAUGUCUCUGAUUUGAACAUGAUCAGUGCCCUUGAACAAGUCCCUUUUACCUUGCUUAGACCUAGAUUCUGCAUUUCUGUCUGUGUGGCACCCAGCUCUAGUAGCGGAGGUCUAUGACAAGAUUCCAGGUGUGACCUCAAUAUCUGAAAUGGUCAUAGAUGUCCCAGUUGCUUUACAUUUAUUUUAACAAACAGUUGUUCCUCCAUUCUCUAAACUCUAUUCCUAUAAAGUUUUAUAAUAAUAAAUGUAAAAUCACAAAAUUAAUCAUAUACAAAUUAAUUAUACAAUUAAUGAUAAUAAUUGAAUUUCAUGAAGUGCUUUUGUUGGGAAAAGUGGGCACUAGACACAAAAGGUUUGUUUUUGAACUGGCAAAUUUUGUCAUUGUAUGAAAUACUAGAAACCAAACCUGAAAUAUGGAUGGGGAAAAAAAGAUGAUGAUAGGAAUAAAAUUUAUUCAGGUCUCCUUUGUCUUAGAAAAGCAUUUAGAGAUCUUUUGUUUAUUUUUUAAUAUUAUUUUAUUCAAAACUCAUUCUUUCCCCCCUUCAAGCCAGAGCCCAUUUCCCUUUGCUACCUGGCUCCACUCUUGGCCAAUUCAUCACAGCCACAGAGAGAAAAAAUUCUGUCUCAGUGGAUUGUCAUGAUUUAUUCUAAGUCCAUUUUUUCUCAUAUUUCAGAAAAAGCGAAGUUUGUCCAUAAAGUUAUAAAGCAUCAAAUGGUGGUAGUUCUUUGUACAAAUAUAUUUUAGUAGCUUUUAAAAAAUUGAUAAACUUUAUCUUUUAGCACUGUUUUUAGGUUGACGGAGACUUCCCACAUACUGUACCCUCCUGCUGCGCCACUGUCAAGCAUCCGUGUGACACCUGUGUUGCGAUCAAUGAGCUAACACUGACCCAAACUCAUCAUCUGAAGCCCAUAGUUUACAUGAGGGCUCAUCAUUGUGUGUCAUGCUAAGGUCUCCCUGUUAUCACAUCCUACAGGACAGUUUUACAUCUGACCUUCUUCAUUUCUUUUCCCCCAGGCUGAGAGUUGUACAAUUUCUUUUCUUUCUUUUAUUUAUUUUUCAUUUAUCUAUCUAUCUAUCUAUCUAUCUAUUUUGGGAAAAAGAAGGCUCAUUGCUUUGCUAGCAAAGCAGAAACACAGGGGACUCCUGUCCCAAAGGCUGUGAUUCUGCCCAUCAGCAGGAAGGGGGGUGGGGGCUCGAGUUGGACUAUUUCUAGUGGCUUUUACCUCAUUCCUCUGCAGGCCCAGCUGCUUUCUUCACAGGCCCAGUGACAUCCUUGAGGUAUUUGUGAGGCCAAGCAGCACUGGCUGUCAUGGGGACUAGAAAGAGGAAUUCCGGGUGGUCUAGGCACCUGCCCACAUUGCCCUGGGGACAGUGAGCAACACAGGCCAAACCUGGUGAUAAAGUCUGAUGAUGGGACGACAGGCACCAGGACUGUGAGCAGGGACAGUUAAUCUCACGUGGUGGGGUGGGGAGGGGCCCAGGGUGGAGUCCUAGGCAGGGUUAAGCAGGUAGGGCAGGUCUGAUCAGAAAGAGGCUCCAAGGCUGUUGUUCUCCCCUCUCUUCAACUCUUUGCUUUUGACAGUAAAGCACACGCCUCUCUCUGCUUGUGGUUGGGGGAGGGGUGUGGGCAUAAGAGUAAGCCUUACAAGUUCCUUAGUUACUUGUUUUUUUUUUCAUAUUGUUGAUAUAGAUUUCAGCCAAGUAGGUUACAUAAGGACAAACUGCAGGAAUCUUCAUUUUUCUACAGCAAAAUUAUCCUCUUCUCUCUAAUAUCAUGCAACUGACCCCAGAAUAGCACACCUGAAAGGAUGGGCACUUCUCCCUUUCGAAGGAGGCAUCCCAGGGUAUCUCUCACCCCAGCCCCUCCCUUUGCUAGGCCACCCAGGUAGAUAUAAGUAGUCAUUUGCAAAAUGAAAAUAAUACGUCAGUCAACUACCAUCAGUCAACUACCGUGCACAGGUAUGGAGUGAGUGGUAAUAUACUUAAAUUCACCAGAACCAGUCAUGACAAGAGCUUGUGUGCUCAAGGACUGGUGGCUGUUGUGUUCCAUUUUCCCUUCCUCAAUAUUGCCCUGUGUUCACCACUUAGUACUAGACUCAAUUAACAGGAGAAUUUCUGAUUGGGACAGAUCAAGCCAAACAGUUCAAUAGAGCUAGUCAGAGAAGGUGCCAUACCCAGCUCUGUAGUGGCUCAAACCAUCUGGUCUCAAGCAUUUGGGAAAUGUCAUAAAUAAAUAGUUUAUGAAAAUACACACCACAUACCCACGUGCGCAUGCCAGCAAAUGAAGAGCACCGUGAAAUCCGAACCUUUGGUUUCCCUCAAUGUGACAACCCAAGAGGUGAAGUUCUGAGCGCUGAUGUCACUGUAAAGUCCUGGUCAUUUUCUUACCUCCUUGCUUACCACUUCUCUUGGUUUGCCCUGCCUAGUAAUAUCUUUUGUUAAUAUUGUUUUGUAACUGUGUGUGUGUGUGUGUGUGUGUGUGCUCCAAGGAUUGCUCUACCCCUCAAUUACACCUUCAACACUUUUUAUGUUAUUUUGAGGCAAGGUCUCACUAAGGUUGCCUAGGCUGGCCUUGAACUUGCAAUCCUCCAGCCUUAGCCUCCCAAGUCACUGGAAUUACAGACCUAUGCCACCAUACCCAGCAAUUUUGCUACAUUUUCAAGAUCUUAAUGCAAAAGAAGUUCAAAUGCAAAGUAUAUGAAUAGUAUAUGAUAGGCAAGGGUCUCUUCUGCCACCUUUUCUCACCCUCUCAAAUGUGUAUGGUGUCUGUGGUGUCCCUUUAAGACUUUUUUUUUUUCCUGUGAACAUUCAGCUGUGCUCAUCCACAUGUAUUUUUCAAAGUUUUUUUUUUUUAAUGCAGUUAUAUCAUACUACUUGUAUUUCUCUGCUGCUUUUUUUUUUUAAUUAAAAAUCAGGACUUUUGCAUUAGUACAUACAGUGUUUGGAGCAUUCAUUUUAAACAGCUAUGUAAUGGAUAGUAAUAAACAUUCUUUUGUUUUUUAUUUACCCAUUCUCUCAUUGGUCUCCAUUUAAACCAUCUCCAUUUUUUUCCUAAUUACAGAUGAAUCCACGUACAUCUUGCCACACCUGUUCCUGAAUACACAUGGUUGUUUCUAAAGGCUAUACUCACAGAAGUUAUCUUUCUGGAUAAAGUUUCCUGCACAAUUUAAAUUUUCAUAGGAACAGCCAUGUGGACCUCUGUAAAACAUAAUGCAAACUUAGAGUAACGCUAAUAACAUUCUCCAGUGUCUGAAAAUGUUGACCCCUCCUCAGUUAAAAAAGAGUUCAUGGUUGCUCCCACUUCUGUGAGUUUUUCAGGUUUUGCUUUCUGAGUUGCCCUCAGAUGUUUUGACAAGAAUGAAAAUGAGUGACUCAUCAGUUUUCUUCUAUUGUGAACCUUCAAAUUGUCCAAAGCAUUUGGAUGUCAGUGAGCCCAGUGAAUUCUAGAGUCUCAAUGUGAAAGUAGAUGAACCAUACAAAGGCCCUCGCUGAGGUUUCCUGAAUGACCCUUCUUCUAGAAAUGCAAAUCAGAAUGUGCCAGAUGGCUUUACGUCCAUCCAUGGCUUUCAAUAGCACCCAGAAUAUAAUCCAGGCCCCUUACUGUGGACUGUUGGCCUGAGCAACCUGGCCUCUAUUGAUAUGGACCUCACUUCUUAUCACUCUAGCAGACUCUUCCAGCUACACAGCUGGGUGUUUACUUUCCUAAAUACAUGGAGACCUGUUUGCAUUGGAGUGGAGUUUUUCAGACUCCCUGACUGCUAACCUGUGCAGAAACACACAGUUUCUCCAGACUCAGCCACAAGUGCCUAUUUGUAUGUGUGUAUCUGAAACUUAACUCUCACCAAACAACUUCCACUUGCACCAUGAUGGAUGCUAGUUUCCUCUGUUCUGAUUUACUCUACUCUGUUUCAUUUGGGGGAGGGGAAAACCUUCUUAGUAUCCACUAGACUGGUCUUAUAAUUUAUUAAUGCAAGCCCCAGGGUUUGCAAAACGGUCACCAGAUUCCCUCCCACUGAAGGCAGAGGUCUUGGCUACUCUCCAAGCCUUCCAUGUCUCAGCAUAAGUAUUACCCUCCUUUGCUGUUCUAUCCCACUUUGUUAUUCUAUCACAACAUCCUGUUUAUUUCCUUUAUUACAAUUUACAAAAUUGUAAUCAUCUAUUCACAUAACUUUUCUUAUCCUUUGUUGUUUGUCUUUCCCAAAGAGACUAAAAAGAAGGAUCUUGUUUGCUUUGAGCACCACAUAUAAGAUAGUACUUGGAAAAUAGUAAGUGUUCAAUAAAUGCUUAUGAAUGAAUAAAGAGAUGCCUUUUUUUUUAACACACUGAGAUUUUUGGUUCUCCUCCAUUUCACAGUCUAGCACAUUCCACAUACCCUGCUGCUUUUGAUCACAGUAAUAAUUUUCUCAGUAAAUUUUUUAACCAGGAUCUCCCUGGUUCUCUCCCUCUAAAUAAGAUAUCAAAAGGUGAAAAUGCAUAUUCUAUUUCCAGAGGCAGUGUGUGUGGUGGUGUAGUAGGGACUGCAGGCCAGAUUGCUUGGAUAGU
rnacentral:lncRNA from 1 species